rnacentral:rRNA from 1 species
AUUGAACGCUGGCGGAAUGCUUUACACAUGCAAGUCGAACGGCAGCACGGGUGCUUGCACCUGGUGGCGAGUGGCGAACGGGUGAGUAAUACAUCGGAACGUACCCAGUUGUGGGGGAUAACUAACCGAAAGGUUAGCUAAUACCGCAUACGACCUGAGGGUGAAAGCGGGGGACCGUAAGGCCUCGUGCAAUUGGAGCGGCCGAUGUCUGAUUAGCUAGUUGGUGAGAUAAAGGCUCACCAAGGCGACGAUCAGUAGCUGGUCUGAGAGGAUGAUCAGCCACAGUGGAACUGAGAAACGGUCCAGACUCCUACGGGAGGCAGCAGUGGGGAAUUUUGGACAAUGGGGGAAACCCUGAUCCAGCCAUUCCGCGUGAGUGAAGAAGGCCUUCGGGUUGUAAAGCUCUUUCGGCAGGGAAGAAACGCUCUGGAAUAAUACUCUGGGGUAAUGACGGUACCUGAAGAAGAAGCACCGGCUAACUACGUGCCAGCAGCCGCGGUAA